ensembl:snRNA U6 U6 spliceosomal RNA
GUGCUCACUUAGGCAACAUAGAUACUAAAACUGGAACAAUACAGAGAAGACUAGCAUGGCCACUGCACAAAAGUGAUAUGCAAAUUCGUGAAGCAUUCCAUAUUUUU